GGUGGAGGGAGGGGGGGGGGGGGGGGGCAAAUGAAGGGGGAAAAAAAGAGAAAGAAAACAACUUCUAAAGGACUCUUGAGAUGCCUCAGGAUUUUUCCAUGACAGACCAUCGCCUUUCCCAAUGUCGAGCGGUGGGAACGGGCCACUUUGUUUGUACGAAGCGGUGUCUGGGAGGAAUGUGGGGUUUAGCCGGGGAGCCGAGAGGGGGGGUGUAUGAUAACUCCCACUCCAUUCAGAUUUAUGGUCAAGACAGAGGGGCUCCUCCGGAUGCAUGUCAGGGGACCAGUAGAACACCACCCCUCUGCCAAAGCAAAUGUUUUAGCCGAGCAAACCCUCGCUAUUCUGUGCGUCGCUCUCUCUCUCCCUUCCUCUGUCUCCUUUUCUGUGCAAUCGUAUGGAAAAGUGGGUGAUUGUUCUCCCGUGAAGCUUUCACACGGUGACAUUUGUGGUAACCUCAUUAUAAACCAGGCGUUGGCCGUAAUGAAAGCGUCCUUGCCUGGAGUUAGAUGCGAAGAUCGAUAGCACCCUCGCCGUGAUGAAGCCGCAGCCAGCAGCCCGUUAGCUUAGCAUAAAGGCUAGCUUCGCCCUGUUCAAAGGCUGGGAAAAUCCCUGCUGCUGGGCUGUGGAAUAUUCUGCCUUUUAAACGAUCGAGAUGUAGCGUGAGGCGCCAGGAGGGGAAUUUAGAAAGUGUCGGAGAGGACCAAGCCGCUGUUUGAUUUAUCACCAACAAAUCAGGCAAGAAAGCUGGUCGACUGUGAAAAGUGUGUCCUUCCCAAUCUCAGAUUAGAUUCCUCAUCAAAGUGUUUGUCAGCAGUAAUUGACAAACCAGGUCUUUAACCUACCAACAUUUCAUUUACAGAUGUCCUUUCAAUUCUUCUGCGCAUUCCUGGGCCGGUUGUGCGACAUCCUUCAUAGCAGGGUCGGACUUUGCAAACUCCUCUUAAAAAGUUUUCAGAAUCCUUAGAAAAAAAACGACCCCAUUCCCCUCGUCGAGCCCAACCAACACAACUGUACAGCGGCCUGUGAGUCUUUUACUCAUUUUUGUCCUCUUUCCCAAUGCAUUCAGCCCUUCUGAAUGUCCUGUCGCCCCUUCUUACCUUCUCCCCUCCACCUCCCCCUCUUUUCAUUACUGUCCCAUUCAUUCAUUUAUUCUUGUUCUUUUCCACUGCUUCGGCCACGCCAGCGAAUGCAUUCAUCUCCCUGCCUGCCUGGUCUAUCAGAGGACGACACACUCCUUUAUCUCAUCGAGCAUCUGGUAAUGGAAGUAAACACUGCAUCCUCGGCCGGGCAGCGAGUCAGAUGAACGGCAGCGUCCAUGUGUGUGACAGAGAGGGAGGUGUUUGUGCGAGAUGGAAAAGGGAACAAGACGGGCCUGUUACAUCGUGCUAAUCCUAAUCCUAGCCUGCAAUUGUGUCCAAUGUCCACCCCUCCUGCUCCGAGUCACUUCCAGGUCUUGGCUUAGCCGGGGGAAAAAAAGGUGAAUGUCUGCUUCCAUGGCGCCGUCGGUCAGGCGAACCCACUGACCUUGGCGCGGCGGCUGCUUGGCGAGCCUCUGGAGAACCUUCGUCCUCCAUCGUUCCAAUCCAGGAGAUCCGAUUGAAACUGCGAGUGUGCCAUCUGCCCCUUGACAAGAUUACACUGUGCGAUUGGCCAAGAAAUCCUCUAGCGUGGCAGAUUAAUAUUGAAAUAUAGGGCAGGAAUAGCUGCUGCAUGUCUAGAUUCUGUUUUGCCGUGUAGCCCCUCUGAAUUCAUGCCACAGCAACAACAUUUUCCCAGGUGAUUGGAUUAGGAAAUGUAUUAAUUGUUUCUAUCCGUCCCUUUUUGCAUCUCUUUUUCUGCUGAUCCCCCUGGUCCUUUUUUUGUAUUUUGCAUGUGUUUGUGUUAAUCCAGAACUUCCUCCCAUGUCCUCUCUUUAGAUUUUAAUAAAUGUAUCCCAG
ensembl:lncRNA